AACAUGGCAUUUUUAGCCAUCCUAAUAACCACACCAUGGCAUUCACUCACUAUUUAUAAAUCACAUUCAUCAUGCACAACGACACACACAUUUUACUAAUUAUAGCAUGUAACUUAACCAUUCACAUUUAGUAUUUGCCACAUAUAAUUAUCACACAUUCACUCAUCCAACCCAAAAAAGCAUGCACAUCCAUGUAAUGCUUCAUCAUAGACUUAUAACAUAGCAAAUAUUGGUCACACUAAAUGGCCUUAUACAACAAUGACCUUUAAUUAGCAUAUGCCAAUAUUCUAGGCUAACUCAUAAUAUCAUCUACACAAUAAUCAAAUCCCUAUACAUGUCAUACACUUAAAAUGCUAGAAAAUCAUUGAUACCCAUCAAUAGCUUAUUAGUGUGAUAGGAUCUCCGACGACCUCCAACUCGAGCUAGCAUAUGUGACACUAUAGGAAAAAGGAAAGGAAGAGAGAGUAAGCAUAUAGCUUAGUAAGUAGGUAUGUAAAUAAUAAAAAAUUUAUUAACAUGAUUUUAAAAAUCCUCAUAAUAUUUUCUCAAGAUAAUGCAAUCAUAAUUGCACAAAGUUCCACUAUUCACUUAUGUUCAUAUCAAGCUAUUUAUGCAAGUUAUAGUCACUAAAUUAUUUAUAUCUUGAGCUACGGAACUCCAAAUUAAGUUCUGCUAUUUUUUUCCUGAAACUAGACUCACAUAUAUCCUUACCAUAAAAUUUCCAAAAUUUUUGGUUUAGCCAAUAAGUACAUUUUAUUCUUUAAAGUCGUCCCUAUUUUGCUAUCCGAUAGUUUCGACCCUUCUUCACUAAAAAUUAAUUACCUCCUUGUACGGGACUCGGAUGAUGUUCUCGUUUAUUAUCUUGAAAAUAGAUAAUUAAGAAUUUAAAAAUAUAAAUUAUAACUCGUAAUUAUUUUUAUACUAUUUUUAAUGAUUUUCUAAAGUCGGAACAGGGAAUUCCAAAUUCAUUUUGACCCUGUCCUACAAAAAUUCAAACAUCCCAUAAUAUGAAAUUCUUUUGCUUACAUUGUUUCUUCUAUGUGAAACUAGGCUCAACAAGAUUUAAUUUCAUAUCUUAUUCAACCUCUAAUUCAAUUUCCAUAAUUUUUGGUGAUUGUUCAAAAUUAUACAAUAGCUCUUGUCCAGAGCUAUUUUACUGCUAACUUUAUUCUUUCAUGAUUUCUUUGUAUUAACAUCCAUUUAAUCAUACGUAACACCAAAGCAUAUCCUUAACUAGCCAUUCCAAUAGCUAGUCAUUAUCAAAUAUUUACAUGCCAUUCAUUGGCCAAUUUAACCUAUACAUCAAUAGCAAAACUUAAACUUAUCAUGUCUCAAUUUAAUUUGGCCUAAAAGCCUCACACAUGAUCAUCAAUCAAAUUUACCACCUAUUUAUACAACAUAAGUAUAGACUUAUAAUCACAAGGUCAUCACAAGAUCAUUUUCAUAGGUAGGACUUACUCAUUUACAUUCUUACCAAAUGUCUCAUAUACAUCGAAUUCAUUACUCAUGAAUUUUGCGUACAUACCUGUACCCUUUUAACAUGAUCAUACCUUGUUAUUUCUUUGACAUAAUAUUUGGAUUUACCCGUUAAACCUCUUAAGAUACUAAGGAUACUCGAGAAAACUCGUACAAGAUGUAUCAUACCAAUGCCAUGUCCCAGACAUGGUCUUAGAUGGAAAUCUCAUAUCGAUGUCAAUAGUCCAGCUAUGGUCUUACACGAUGCCUCAUGCCGAUGCCAUGUCCCAGACAUGGUCUUACACUGGCUUACAUAACAAUGCCGAUGUCAUGUCCCAGACAUAGUCUUACACUAGCUCACGUAAGCUCACGUAACAAUGCCGAUGCCAUGUCCCAGACAUGGUCUUAUACUGGCUCACAUAACAAUGCCGAUACCAUGUCCAGACAUGGUCUUACACCGAUGUCAUGUCCCAGACAUAGUCUUACACCGGCUCAUGUAACAAUGCCGAUGCCAUGUCCUAAACAUGGUAUUACACGGUUACACAUAUUGCCAUGGUCCAACCAUGGUAUUUACCGUCAAUUCAUAACAUGUCGUGAUUCGAUCAUACUCAACCCUGUAUUUUUCUUAAUUUGAUCUUUCAAUACGAUCUCGUAUUUUUAUAUUAUUCAUGAUCCAAUAAUAACAUACAAAAUAAUACAUGAUAUUGAUUAAGCAUUUAAACAUAUAAAAUUUAAUGCUUAUUAACAUAGAAACCUACCUCGGUAUGAAACGACGAAAUAAGUCAAUUACUCGAUUAUCUUGCUUUUCCCCCGAUCUAAUUCUGAAUUUCAUCUUCCUUGAUCUAUAACAACACAUUUAAUUUAUUUAUUCAUCAUGCAACUCAAAUUAGCCCAAUUUCAUAUUUUUGGUAAAAUUACAUUUUUACCGUUAUACUUUUUCAUAUUUACACUUUUUCCCCUAGGCUCGUAAAAUGAAAUGUGUUCAAUUUCUUUACUACCCAUGCAUAGUCAAACCUUUUUCAUGCUUAUAGAAGCCCACAUUUUCUAUUAUUUCACACAUUUACUACCAUUUUACAACUUUUACAAAAUGACUCAUUUUAGGUGUUUUUAUGAAAAUCAUUUAACAAAAGUUGUUUAUUUAACAACCAAUAUUCAUUUUAUUCCAUAAAAAUACAGCAAACAACAUGAAUAUUCUCAUGGAAAAACCCUAGACUUUCAACCAUUUUGCAAAAUAAUCCCCUCAUUAGCUAGAUUAAGUUAUAAGGGUUCCAAAAACAUAAAAAUCAACAAAAAUGACCAUCAAAAUCACUUACUUGUAAGGGUCUAAAGUUGCUGAAAAUUUCAAGCUCCCAUGGCCAUUUUUCUUAUAGAAAAUCGGUGGAGAGAAGAAGAUGAAAAAAACAAAAGAUGAUAACUAGAGUUUUUAUUAUUAUUUUAUUCAUUACUCAUAUUUUG
rnacentral:lncRNA from 1 species